rnacentral:rRNA from 1 species
UCAGACCGGAGAAAUCCAGGUCAGUUUCUAUCUAUAUAAUUUUUUUUCCUAGUACGAAAGGACCGGAAAAGUGUGGCCUAUAUAAACACAAGCCACAACUACCAAGUUAUGAUUUAAUCUCAAUAACACCGUAGCCUAAAAUAAUUUUCUAAACAAGAACCG